GUAUCCCGUGCACCAUCCCCUGUUGGCGUGCAGGUGCACUAGCUAGAGGGUUGUCCGCGUGAAACCCAUGGUAGCCUCCAGGCUUCACAUGUAUCUCCUACGCCACCGUGUCGAAGCCGUGGAGGCGUGGACUAUGUGCGUACGUGGCUGCCGGAUGUGGGCGUCGCCAUGCCUGCUGAUGAAGAUUGGACGAGGCGAGCAUGGUUGUUGUACGGGGUCGUGUGCUGCGUCAACGACGUGACAGUCCGCUCCACUUCAAAGUCGGUUAGGCAUGGCGUGGUGCCCGGUCGGUGUUCGGCGGGUCGGGCGAGUAGAUACGGGAGACGGGCCAGCGGCAUGGUGGCGCUCCGCUCAACACUUUUUUUACUCACGAAACUUCGCUCGACAGCCAGAGGCAGGAAGUCGACCUGUUUGUUGGUGUUUCUGUGUGGGGCUCCAUGCAGUUGGCCCAUUGGCAAGCUUCAAG
rnacentral:lncRNA from 1 species